GUUGUAAGAGUCUUGUGAGUGCGACUCUUGCUAGGUCCAGCCUUUGCUUUAGGAGGCACUGGAGAUUUCCUCUUUUUCUCCGCAGAUGGAGAAUAGUAAGACCCAGAUUCACCCGUUCCUUCGCGGAUGAUGGUCUUGUUGCCCCUCGCUUUCUCGAGGUUGCUAACUCUUUUUUCUAUGGAAUCCAUAAAGUUAAUCAACCUCUCUUGUAGCACAGGAGUUAGGUUCACU
rnacentral:lncRNA from 1 species